GCGUUCCUACGGGGCGCAGCAGUGGGGAAUAUUGCACAAUGGGCGAAAGCCUGAUGCAGCAACGCCGCGUGAAGGAAGAAGGUCUUCGGAUCGUAAACUUCUGUCCUUGGGGAAGAUAAUGACGGUACCCUUGGAGGAAGCCCCGGCUAACCACGUGCCAGCAGCCGCGGUAAUACGUAGGGGGCAAGCGUUAUCCGGAUUUACUGGGUGUAAAGGGAGCGUAGGCGGCUGUGUAAGCCAGAAGUGAAAGCCCGAGGCUCAACCACGGGACUGCUUUUGGAACUACAUGGCUUGAUUGCAGGAGA
rnacentral:rRNA from 1 species